rnacentral:RNase_P_RNA from 13 species
AGAAGCCAAGAAAGAAAGAGAAGAGUAAAGAGCUUCCAUCAUAGGAAGAGUCCACCCAUUCAACUUCUUUGGCUCAUUAAACCUCAAAGUUGUAACAAAGUUCUUCUUCUCCAUACAAAUCAACUCUUUCUUUUUCUCUUCUUUCUCUUCUUUCUUUCUCUCUUUGUUUGUUUGGGGGGGGGUUGUUUGGGAGAAGAGGCGGAUGCUCGUUUUGAGGAGGUUGGGGGAAGAGAGAGAAGGGGAAGAGAGAAUGGAAAGAGAGCGGAUCAUUUUUCUUUUUUCUUUCUUUUUGAAAA